UACACUCCUGCGGGAGGCAGCAGUGGGGAAUUUUGGACAAUGGGCGAAAGCCUGAUCCAGCAAUGCCGCGUGUGUGAAGAAGGCCUUCGGGUUGUAAAGCACUUUUGUCCGGAAAGAAAUCCUUGGCUCUAAUACAGUCGGGGGAUGACGGUACCGGAAGAAUAAGCACCGGCUAACUACGUGCCAGCAGCCGCGGUAAUACGUAGGGUGCGAGCGUUAAUCGGAAUUACUGGGCGUAAAGCGUGCGCAGGCGGUUUGCUAAGACCGAUGUGAAAUCCCCGGGCUCAACCUGGGAACUGCAUUGGUGACUGGCAGGCUAGAGUAUGGCAGAGGGGGGUAGAAUUCCACGUGUAGCAGUGAAAUGCGUAGAGAUGUGGAGGAAUACCGAUGGCGAAGGCAGCCCCCUGGGCCAAUACUGACGCUCAUGCACGAAAGCGUGGGGAGCAAACAGGAUUAGAUACCCGUGUAGUCCCAUGAU
rnacentral:rRNA from 1 species